AAGUGAUGAGAUUCUUAGAUGACGAGUCAGAAUCGGGAUUCCCGUUGACGAAAAAACUUUUUUUAAUACCAUUCAUGCCUAGCUGAUU
rnacentral:snoRNA from 1 species